rnacentral:lncRNA from 1 species
CGGAGGAUGAACUGAGGAUACUCGCGGAGGAUGCACUGAGGAUACUCGGGGGAGGACGGACUGAGGGGAUUCGGGGAGAAUGGACUGAGGGGACUUGGGGGAAAAUGGACUGAGGGGACUCGAGGGAAAAUGGACUGAGGGGACUCGCGGAGGAUGCACUGAGGAUACUCGCGGAGGAUGCACUGAGGAUACUCGCGGAGGAUGGACUGAGGUUACUCGCGGAGGAUGGACUGAGGAUACUCGCGGAGGAUGGACUGAGGAUACUCGGGGGAAAAUGGACUGAGGGGACUCGGGGGAAAAUGGACUGAGGAUACUCGGGGGAAAAUGGACUGAGGGGACUCGCGGAGGAUGAACUGAGGAUACUCGCGGAGGAUGGACUGAGGAUACUCGCGGAGGAUGGACUGAGGAUACUCGGGGGAAAAUGGACUGAGGGGACCCGGGGGAGGAUAGACUCAGGAUACUCAGAGAGGAUGGACUGAGGGGACUCGGGGGAGGAUGGAUUCAGGAUACUCAGAGAGGAUGGACUGAGGGGGCUCGGGGGAGGAUGGACUCAGGAUACGCAGAGAGGAUGGACUGAGGGGACUCAGGGGAGGAUGGACUGAGGAUACUUGGGAGAGGAUGGACUGAGGAUAUUCGGAGAGGAUGGACUGAGGGGACUCGGGAGAGGGAUGGACUGAGGGGACUCGGGGGAGGAUGGACUCAGGAUACUCAGAGAGGAUGGACUGAGGGGACUCAGGGGAGGAUGGACUGAGGAUACUCGGAGAGGAUGGACUGAGGGGACUUGGGGGAGGAUGGACUCAGGAUACUGAGAGAGGAUGGACUGAGGGGACUCAGGGCAGGAUGGACUGAGGAUACUAGCGGAAGAUGGACUGAGAAGACUCGGGGAAGAGUGGACUGAGGAUACUCGCGGAGGACGGACUGAGAAGACUCGGGGGACGAUGCACUGAGGAUACUCGUGGAGGAUGGACUGAGAAGACUCAGGGAGGAUGGGCUGAAGAUACUCGGGGAGGAUGCACUGAGGAUACUUGGAGAGGAUGGACUGAGAGGACUCGGGGAAGAAUGGACUGAGGGGACUCGGAGAGGAUGGAUUGAGGAUACUCUGGGGAGGAUGCACUGAGGGCGCUCUGGGAAGGAUGAACUGAGGAGACUCAUGAAUAGUCUCCCACUACUCUAUCAGAGAUAACCACAUUUUAGCAAACACUCCGUUGGAGUCACCCCAUGCACACAUGUGUACAUGCAGCCAAGCCUUUUCCCACGCUAUUAGCUGGUGCAAGUUCCAUCCCUGGAUUUUAAGCAUGGGUCGCCUGGAAGAGCUUUGUUAGAGGAAGAAGAAAGAGGUGUAUCUCAGGAAAAUCCUGGUUCCCAAAGUUGCACAUUAUGUCAGAUGUACCUGUCUUUGACGGCUGGGAGAGCGGACAAGACCCUGCCCCAGCCCUGGCCAGGAAUGGUGGCUGGUGAGCCCCUAGUUGCAGGCAACCUGGACCUGUCCUCGCGGCACCUGAAGAGGGGAAAGGAGACUUGAGGAGAAUGACUGUCCCCAGGCGACCGCCCAUGAACACCUGAGCACCCAUCUGAUAAACA